rnacentral:rRNA from 1 species
UACGGGGGGGGCAAGCGUUGUUCGGAAUUACUGGGCGUAAAGGGCUCGUAGGUGGCCAACUAAGUCAGACGUGAAAUCCCUCGGCUUAACCGAGGAACUGCGUCCGAUACUGAAAGGCUUGAAUCCGGGAGAGGGAUGUGGAAUUCCAGGUGUAGCGGUGAAAUGCGUAGAUAUCUGGAGGAACACCGGUGGCGAAGGCGGCAUCCUGGACCGGUAUUGACGCUGAGGCGCGAAAGCUAGGGGAGCAAACGGG